rnacentral:lncRNA from 1 species
GUACUGCCUUCAACAAUGAGCAAAGUCCAUACCGCAUAGUCGGCUGUAAAAGACACCGAAAUGAUAAUGUAAAUCAAUUCAAACGAGAAAACUAACAGUCUAAUCAAUGUACAAAAAAAAAUAAACGAAAAACAAAUAUGUAACGCAUAAACAAACGACAAGGACUGAAUUACAGGCUCCUCACUUAGGACAUGCAUACAGAAUGUGGAGGGUUUAAACAUGUUAGCGGGAUGUCAACCCUCUCCCUUACCUGGGAAAGUGGUGUACCAUGUUUACAAUAUCAAUUGGUUUUGUGUCAUGAUGAAAUGUUCAAACGAAAGACUUAAAUCGGAGAAGUCUAUUUUUGUUUAAACAGUUAUGGAUCAUGGAGCUAUCAAAACGGGCAUUGACUGGGAUAACGAUAUUGAUAGACAAGAGGCUCUCAAGAGCCUGAAUCGCUCACCUGGUAAACAAUGCCUUCGGCCAUGUUUUUUGACGAAAUAGAAAAUAAAACACAAACUUUAUUUUAUACACCCUACUGAUCAUUCAAAUGAAGUUUGGUUGAAUUUGGUUGAGCAGUUUUAGAGAAGAUUUUUUAAAGUUAGCAAAUAUGAUGAACAAAUUGUGAAAAAUUGUCAUUAAAGGACAAUAACCCCUUGAGGGGUCAAUUGACAAUUUUGGUCAUAUUAACUUAUUUGUAGAUCUUACUUUGCUGAUCAUUUUUGCUGUUUACAGUUUAUCUUUAUCUAUAAUAAUAUUCAAGAUAAUGACCAAAACUGCAAAAUUUCCUUAAAAUUACCAAUUAAGUGGCAGCAACCCAACAAUGGGUUGUUUGAUUCAUCUGAAAAUUUCAGGGCUGAUAGAUCUUGACCUAAUGAACAUUUUUACCCCAUGUCAGAUUUGCUUCAGAGGAGAAGAUUUUUGUAAAAGAUUACUAAGAUUUACGAAAAAUGGUUAAAAAUUGACUAUAAAGGGCAAUAACUCCUAAAGGGGUCAACUGACCAUUUCGGUCAUGUUGACUUAUUUGUAAAUCUAACUUUGCUGAACAUUAUUGCUGUUUACAGUUUAUCUCUAUCUAUAAUAAUAUUCAAGAUAAUAACCAAAACAGCAAAAUUUCCUUAAAAUUACCAAUUCAG